AUGAUUGCUUUUAUGAUAUAUCUUUGCAAUGCCAUUUGCGGUAGCUUGAUGCUUGUCUGAUAAAAAAAUCAAAUUCUCACGGAUCCCAAUUACAUUGCGAAGCUGAGUAAAGUACCACUCAUAGGAAUUAUUAUUUUCAGAUUCUGCUAUUCCAAAGACUAAUGAAAAAAUUUGGUUAUUUGCAUCUUUUGAAACUGAAAUCAUUAAAACACCACGAUAUUUGGACUUCAAAAAAGUUGCAUCAACAACAAUCGCUGGUCUACAAUGAUUCCAACUAGCUAUUGAUGAUCCAUAUGCAUAAACAUAUAAAGAAACCUGGAAGUACAAUAUAAAAUAAGGUUAACAUACAUGAAGUUUAGGACAGUCAGUUCUUAACUUACAUUUACAAGUUAUAAAGUUAAGGACAUGCCGUCCUUAAAUUUUUUUUUUUUCAAAGUUCAAACCUUAACCUAUAUGCAUUUUUAAAUUUUAAAACCGCGUUUAUUGAUUUGAGGAAUUAUUUCAAAGUCAUUUAAAAUAUGUCGUAAGCCACGGUACAUGAAAUGCACUCGCGGUUCAUGACACACAGUAUUUAACCUUAUUAUAAAUUAAAAUCGGAUCACAUGAAAGGCACCACCGAGUUUGAAAUUAUGUAUCACAACUACGUUACGGGAACCGUACUCAUAGUCAUGAUGAUUUAUUAUAAAUAAACCUAAAGCAAACUACGAAUGUUCAAAUUAUUUUUCUAUACUAAUUGUGGUAUUAAUGUGAGGCCAUAGAUUACUGAAUUUAUUUGUGGAUGACACGCCUCAACUCGACUUAUUUUCAAUAAACUAAAUGCCAAACACCUCACUUUUCAUUAUUGUAUUCUGCCAUCAUAACAUUAAUACCACACGAUAACUGAAAAGAGCACACAUAGUCAAGCAUAAGAAGGUAGUGAAAUACAGUGACCCAUUUGACAGAUCAAAAAUCACUGCACCUAACAAUUUAAAUUUAACAUAAAGAGAAUGCAGGUCUUAACAACGAACAUGAUAUUUUAAUAAUCAUAUCCACAUGAUGCUAAUAUAUUCCAAUUACCUUUAAUAACACUAGACCAAACAAUUACUUAAACUGCUUAUUCAAAUAUUUUUGAUUUCUAAAUUGAUGAAGGAGAAUAUUAACCCCAGAAUAUCAACAUCUUUUAACCAUACCAGAAUUCGAAUAUUUAAAAGUGAGAUAAAAGGCUAUUGCAAGACACAAGAAACUGAAAUUAAAAAAAAAAAAGACUUUCAAAUCCUAAAACAGAGCUUACACAAUACUCAUGAACUACUCAAAAUAGCAAGGAUGAAUUCUUAUGAACGCGUCUAAACCAAAUACGCAACAUUGAUUCACAAAUCUCAAACAAUAAACAAACACGAUAAAAUCAAAUGCUAAUAUAAUUCUUAUCACUACUAUUAAUACAAUAAAUAAAGUAUUGUAAAUAGACUGAAAUAGCACAUGUAUAUGAAAGAAUUGAAACUCAAACCUCAAAUCGGAAAUAAAGAACAACGAUCUCAAAUCGAACCUCGGCGGAUAAACUUUUUAUAAUUAACUUCUGAUCGAACACACAGACAAAUGGAUUGCCAAUGACGAAAAUCCAUACUCGAACAGACACAAGCAGCAACAAAAUGAACGAGCUACCAGAGAUUCAGUGAAACCCAGACAGAAAACAUUGAAACUGAACAUCGAGCGACGAACUCCACUUCAAUCAAACUCCAUAGAAACACGAUAUUUCCAGCAUAAUUACAAUCAACAAAAUAGAACCAUAUAUUUCCUUGCUCUAACCACAAAUCGUCUGUGUGUAUUAAGGAAGAAAGAAAUUAGUUUCCUCCUUGUUUCACUACUGUUCCGUCCUCUCUUCACAUUUUUUGUGUUUCCUUAUUAAUCUCUAAAGUCUCUCUAGGGUUCAGAUUAUCUUUUAAGUGGGGGUGAGGCGUUGGGUGGUCAAAAUUUAGCUGGCAAAGUCCCCGAUUUACUGCUCAUCGGCGUUCUCUCUUAAGGAACGAGAGAGAGAAACAGAGAAAAAUCUAGAGAGGGGUGUUAACGAUGGGUGUGUUGAUGGUUGAAGAAGGCUAAAGCAGGGGUGUUUUAUUAAGAAGAAGUCAUUGAAAUAGCUCUGCUUCUCUUGUUAAAGGAGACGAGAUUUAGAGGGGGGGUUUGAAAU
rnacentral:lncRNA from 1 species